rnacentral:sRNA from 1 species
GACCUGGCACGGCACCUGCAAGAGCACUGGCAACAAUCUACAAAAGCGCGUCCCUCAACGAAGAGGCUCGCACUUCCCGAUCGAUCGGGACUUGGACAAAGGCGUCCUCGCCGGGCAACCGGCGGGACGCC